rnacentral:rRNA from 1 species
CUGGGGGCACGGCCCUAUACACACAUGGCAAAGUUCGAACGGUUAAACAGAAACUUAGCUUGCUAGUGCUGACGAGGGGCGGAACGGGUGAGUAAUAACUUAGGAUCUGCCUUUUUGUGGAGGAUAAACUUAUUGGAAACGAUUAGCUAAUACCGCAUUAACGUUUCUCGGAACCAAAAGGAGGGCCUUAGGCUCUCGCGCCAGAGAAGGAACCUUAAGCGGAGAUUUAGCUUGUUGGGGAGGUAAGGCUUACCCAAGGGGAGCGAUUCUAGGAGCCCGGUCCAGAAUCCUUCCGGAGGCAGCAGUGGGGAAUUUGCCCAAUGGGGCAACCUGAUGCAGCAUGCCGCGGUGUGAAGAAGCCUUCGGGUUGUAAAGCACUUUCAGUUGUGAGGAAAGGUAGUAGUAUACUGCUAGCUGUGACGUUAACAACAGAAGAAGCACCAGCUACUCGUGCCAGCAGCCGCGGUAAUACGGAGGGUGCGAGCGUUAAUCGGAAUUACUGGGCGUAAAGCGCACGCAGGCGGUCUGUUAAGCUAGAUGUGAAAGCCCCGCGCUCAACGUGGGAGGGUCAUUUAGAACUGGCAGACUAGAGUCUUGGAGAGGGGAGUGGAAUUCCAGGUGUAGCGGUGAAAUGCGUAGAGAUCUGGAGGAACAUCAAUGGCGAAGGCAACUCCCUGGCCAAAGACUGACGCUCAUGUGCGAAAGUGUGGGUAGCGAACAGGAUUAGAUACCCUGGUAGUCCACACCGUAAACGCUGUCUACUAGCUGUUUGUGGAUUUAAUCCGUGAGUAGCGAAGCUAACGCGAUAAGUAGACCGCCUGGGGAGUACGGCCGCAAGGUUAAAACUCAAAUGAAUUGACCGGGGGCCCGCACAAGCGGUGGAGCAUGUGGUUUAAUUCGAUGCAACGCGAAGAACCUUACCUACUCUUGACAUACUAGAAACUUUUCAGAGAUGAAUUGGUGCCUUCGGGAAUCUAGAUACAGGUGCUGCAUGGCUGUCGUCAGCUCGUGUCGUGAGAUGUUGGGUUAAGUCCCGCAACGAGCGCAACCCUUGUCCUUAGUUACCAGCAUUAAGUUGGGUACUUUAAGGAGACUGCCGGUGACAAACCGGAGGAAGGUGGGGACGACGUCAAGUCAUCAUGGCCCUUACGAGUAGGGCUACACACGUGCUACAAUGGCGAGUACAAAGGGAUGCAAACUGGUGACAGUAAGCGGACCCCUUAAAGCUCGUCGUAGUCCGGAUUGGAGUCUGCAACUCGACUCCAUGAAGUCGGAAUCGCUAGUAAUCGUAGGUCAGCAUACUACGGUGAAUACGUUCCCGGGCCUUGUACACACCGCCCGUCACACCAUGGGAGUGGGAUGCAAAAGAAGUAGGUAGCUUAACCUUCGGGAUGGCGCUUACCACUUUGUGUUUCAUGACUGGGGUGAAGUCGUAACAAAGUAGCCGU